rnacentral:rRNA from 1 species
ACUGCUCAGUAACACGUGGACAACGUGCCCUAUAGUGGGGGAUAAUCUCGGGAAACUGAGGAUAAUACCCCAUAGGCCAUGGGAUCUGGAAUGACCCAUGGCUCAAAGUUCCGGCGCUAUAGGAUCGGUCUGCGGCCUAUCAGGUAGUAGUGGGUGUAACGUACCCCCUAGCCAUUGACGGGUAUGGGCCUUGAGAGAGGGAGCCCAGAGUUGGAUUCUGAGACACGAAUCCAGGCCCUACGGGGCGCAGCAGUCGCGAAAACUUCACAAUGGGCGAAAGCCCGAUGAGGGAAUUCCAAGUGCGUAUACAUUAGUAUACGCUUUUGUUCAGCGUAGAUAACUGGACGAAUAAGGGCUGGGUAAGACGGGUGCCAGCCGCCGCGGUAAUACCCGCAGCCCGAGUGGUGGUCGAUUUUAUUGAGUCUAAAACGUUCGUAGCCGGUCUAGUAAAUCUCUGGGUAAAUCGGGUGGCUCAACUAUCCGAAUUCCGGAGAGACUGCUAGACUUGGGAUCGGGAGAGGUAAGAGGUACUUCAGGGGUAGGGGUAAAAUCCUGUAAUCCUUGGAGGACCACCGGUGGCGAAGGCGUCUUACUAGAACGAAUCCGACGGUGAGGGACGAAGCCCUAGGUCGCAAACGGGAUUAGAUACCCCGGUAGUCUAGGGUGUAAACGCUGCAGACUUGGUGUUGGGGACCCUUCGUGGGUAUUCAGUGCCGGAGAGAAGUUGUUAAGUCUGCUACUUGGGGAGUACGUCCGCAAGGAUGAAACUUAAAGGAAUUGGCGGGGGAGCAC